ensembl:lncRNA
CAUGCUAUACUUAUGCAUUUUAUUUGAAGAGCACUUUUCAUUCGAAAAUCUCAAAGUGCUACAGAGUUUAAAAGAAAAAAAAGUGUUGGUAAAACGUAUAAUACAGUACAGUAAAAGAGAAAUUAGCAAAAGGCUUUUUUAAAAAGAUAAGUCUUAAGGUUUAGUUUAAAAAUAGCUGUAGUCUGUGGGGCCUUCAGGUGGUCAGGGAGGGUGUUCCAUAGUCUGGGGGGCCUUCAGGUGGUCAGGGAGGGUGUAGUUCAUCUUACUAUAGAUAUCUUAUAGGUGUGCAUGUUCAUAUGUCUGUGGUAUUUCAUCUAGUCGUACUAUAGGUAUAGUGUAUGUGUGUCUAACUAUAGAGGUAGUAUAUGUGUGUGUGCUCAUACUAUGUCUGAUUCUAACUAUAGAUGAAGUCUACAUCUCUAUGUUGGAGCCCAUCCUAUAUGUCUAUAGUAGUAGUUCUUACUAUAGAUAAAGUCUCCAUCUCUGUGUUUGAGCCCAUCCUAUACGUCUAUAGUAGUAGUUCUUACUAUAGAUAUGCUGUAUGUUUGUGUGCUCGUCCUCAGCCUAUAUUUCUAUAGUAGUAGGUCAUGUAUUUCUUACUAUAGAUAUAGUAUAUGUGUAUUUGCUCAUCUUAUAUGUCUACAGGACACGUCCACCCAGUCUUGAGGGGCUGAUCUGCGUCAGAGACACAGAGACUACACCGUGGCAGAAUACCUGACCACCGUGAACGACCCAAAACAGAGGAGAUCCUUGACCAGAUACAGACUCAGCAAACACAGCCUGGCCAUCGAGAAGGGACGCCACAGACAGACCUGGCUCCCAAGAGAAGACAGACUGUGCUCCCACUGCACACACAACCAACUAGAGACAGAACUGCACUUCCUGACCUCCUGCCAGUCAUACGAAGACAUCAGGAACACACACUUCCCACGGAUUACAAAGGCAAGCAAGGACUUCAAAGACACUCCAGAUGCUCACAAACUGCCAUACCUGUUGGGAGAAAUACAACAAUGUGCGAACACAGCAGCAAGAUUCGUCACCUGUUGUGAUGAGAGGAGGACCUCAAACUCCCCAUAGACUCAUCCCCCUGGACUCACUCUGCAAACAAUAAUUGCAUAAUCC